rnacentral:lncRNA from 1 species
UAGGCAUUUACUGAAGGUUAUUUUAAUGAGUAGAAGAAUGAGAAUGACCUGAUAGUUGCCUUCAAGGAACUUAGAGCCUCUAAAUAUAAAAAAAAUAAGUAUAUAGAAAACCACACUCAAGAAUAGACAAUAAUUAUGCACUAAUUAAUUAGAAUUUAGAGGUAUUAGAACUUGGAGGAAACACAAAAAUAAUUUGCAAGCAUGAUAUUUGGACUAUUACAUCAGAACUUAGUGUGGCAAGGUCAGGUGAAGUCUUCCUGAAGAAAGUCGGACUUGAACGAGCUUUACAGGAUUGGUAGGAUUUGGGUGUGAAUACAGGAGGCAUCCUCGGUAAGGGGAACAUCUUGACUAAUGUGAGGGUGAGAAGGCAUGUUUCUGGGCUGGUGAGAAAAAUGACCUCAUUGGAAAACAUUAAAUUGUCAUAAAUUUGGAUAGGUAGGUGGUAUUUAGGCAGAGUAGCUUAGAUUCCCAGAUGGCACUUUUGCCAUUCAACACCAAAACUGAUUUGCUGAGUGCUUCCAGCCAUAUCCAUCUGCCAGGAGCCUGCCUGGCACACUGCCUCUCAGCUAUUUGCUCAGAUGGUUUGACAGAUGCAUAGGUGGUAAGAAAUGGUGCUGUUAAUGUCAGUAAAGCUGCCCUCUGUGAAAGAUAGCAAAUUAUUAUGACUUUGAGCUUUAUAGCUGACGAUUUGUGAUGAUAUUAAAUAAAAAAAUGUGGCUUUAAGUUGUAUAGUACUGGCCGGGCUUGCCUUAUUAUCCAGAGUUCACUAUUGUGGUCACAAUGCCAGGCCAGAGGGCCUCUCUGCUCACCUCACCCACUAUGUCCUCAGCACCUGAGAUACCAGAAUCAAUUGAUUAUCUCUUUGCUCACUGUUAAAAAAAAAAAAAAAAAAUAUAUAUAUA